UACCCUUUACACCGUGUAGU
rnacentral:miRNA from 1 species